GUAAAGUAAGUUGGCGGCGGAUGGACUAUGGGCACAUGGGACAUUGACACAUUACCCGUUAGAAGGCUCUCCUCGAAGCUUUCCUGAACCUGGAAGGGAUGAACCUCUGCUAUUCUCUCAGGGAUCACCUUCCCAUUCUCCUCUACCCGUGCCAAUACUUCAUAGUGGGCCCUUACCUUCUCUGGCUUAGUCUUCCACUCAGGGAAAUCAAACAACUUCACCUCUUCGCCCAAGAGCUUCUUCUCCACAACAAAUCCCAUCUUCAUAUAAGUUCGUGCCGACACAUCUGCCUUAACCAAUCUGAACGACCCUUCACUACUUCCCUUCUUUCUCAGCACAGAAGCCAGGAGUUCCUCAAUUCCCAUCAAGGUUGCAUCCGACCCAUUGAGCGAAGUCAAAGGCCACAAGGUGCUCAUAGAUUCAUCCAUGUCUUCA
rnacentral:misc_RNA from 1 species